UUCGGCACGAGGGCCGAUCCGGCUCGCCGCCCGUUUGCAGCGCUCUCGGCACUCACACCAUGUAACUUACUUGCUUCUUGGGUAGUUCUAACUAAGGAUGGAGCCCUGCAUGACUACCGCCGAGGGAGGGAGGACGUACCGUUGAGCUGAGACGCAGCGACGUCCAACAAACCCAGACCACACCGGGACAUCUGAAUCUUGCGACCUGGAGAUCCACCUGCCCCCAGUGAACGCACGCCCCUGAUCAGGGCCGCCUCUGAGUCUCUUGGACGGCGGCGUGGAAGCCCCCCAACCCGUUUACUGUGUCGAAACGGGUUCACGGGAGAACGAUACAUCUUCCCUUUAUGAAAUAAUCGCCCCGGAGCCCAGUGGCGUAGCAUAGACGUCAAUAAUAAAUUUGUAUAUAUGGAAAGUUUAUUGUAGAUUUUUAUAGGCUAAGCUAAGGGUAUGGUGCGCCACUGGCGCGGUCGACAUCCAAGGCUUCGGCUAAGGUUUAACGCUUUACUAAUACAGACUUCACACAAAAUUCGAUUGUUUAAUGCUGUAAUGGAUUAUCUAAUAAAAACCCUCUGAUUAGUUUAAUAGGUAUAAUUAUAUAAGAAGGUUUAACAUUAGUAAAAAGUUAUUUUCAAUACGAAAGUAUUAUAUUGCAUGUUAUUUUAUAUAUACGAUUUUUGCGUACCUUCUUAUACUCUCGUAGUAGUAAGACAAAUAUACGUAAGCAAGGGGUUAGUCCGUCUUUCUCACACAGGGAUCAGUAGCCCACAUAACAAGGUGCAGAAUUUUAAAUAGGUAGCCGUAGGAAAAGUAAAGAGUAGACCUGUAACGCAGCCACACAUUUGUUGAAUCCGUAUCCAACUUCUACAGUGAGUAAUCUUAACCGGAGUCUUUGCCUUGGUAAUUAAAAACUAAGUAGAAAAGAUGAGGCAGCACCUGAACCGCUGGUCAGAAAGCAUAUGAAGAAGACGAAGAAGAAAUACAAGAGGAAGACAAAUGGCUUGAUCAGGCAGAAGAAGAAGAGUUGUAACUGACUUCAUAUUAUAAAUGAACAGUAAAAAAAGUUCUGUAUAAUUUGAGUACACUCGAAUCGAAAAAAGCCAAUAUUGGAAACUAAUGUGUUUUUUCUAUUUUCGAAUCUGGCACGUUUUUUAUCACCAGGGCAAAGGGUUCCACAACCUAAAGUUUGGCUAGUGACAUUACCGUAGCUGUCUAGAUAGAUUGUUUCCCCCUCUAUACAAGGGGUUGUCAAACAUUAUUGUAUUCAAUAGCGGAUAGUGGCCUUUUGAAAAAUAAAUGAUACCCAUGCCUCUAUACUAUUUAUAUCACGUAUUAUAUCGGUUACUUAUUACACCUAAGGCUACAUUAAGGUUGUAAUACAGCCCUUUGUACAAUGUAUUUACUCGAAUAUUGGAAAAUAAAUGGUUUGAGAAUUG